AAAAUAACAUCUAUCCUUUUUUUAACUAAAGCUAGAUAUUAUUUUAUUCCAUAAGAAAUAAAUAUUGGUCCACACUUGGACAACAAGACAUAGGAAAUGGGAGUCUCCUAAUCACGAGUGAACAAUAAUCGAAACAAACAAAAGCUAAAAAGAAAAGAAGUAGCAUAUUCAAGAAGAAAAGAAGAAGAAUAUUCACAAAGAAGGAAGCGGAUGGUUUAUGAACUCUAGAGCUAAUUUUUCUAUCAGAGCCAGUUUUCUUAGGUGUUAAGCAUUUGCCUUUAAAGAGUUGAAGAUUUCUUGCAAGCCAAAUCUCCCAAAGUGUGUAUGCGAACUAGGAACAAGGUGCUAUUUGAGUUUUGUCUAGAUUGCUGCUAAUGACAUGUGAAGAAACAGCGGAAAGCCGAUUUAGGGUGUUGGUGACAUCAUUGGCAAAUCGACAGAAUAUGGGCUAAUCUGGAGUGGAGUCUCUCCAUGAGAGCUGUACAAUAAAAAAAACUAAUCUUACUAGUGACAUUAUCAUUAGAAGCAAAUCCUCUCCAGUAACUUAUGUAUUAUGGCAAUUUCUUAUGUAUUUGGCUAUAAUUGUGGAUUAUUAUGGAUAUUUUGUUAUUGUUA